rnacentral:rRNA from 1 species
UACGUAGGGUGCGAGCGUUGUCCGGAAUUAUUGGGCGUAAAGAGCUCGUAGGCGGUUUGUCGCGUCUGCUGUGAAAACUCGAGGCUCAACCUCGGGCUUGCAGUGGGUACGGGCAGACUAGAGUGCGGUAGGGGUGACUGGAAUUCCUGGUGUAGCGGUGGAAUGCGCAGAUAUCAGGAGGAACACCGAUGGCGAAGGCGGGUCUCUGGGCCGUAA